rnacentral:rRNA from 1 species
CCUACGGGAGGCAGCAGUGGGGAAUAUUGGACAAUGGGCGAAAGCCUGAUCCAGCAAUGCCGCGUGAGUGAUGAAGGCCUUAGGGUUGUAAAGCUCUUUUACCAGGGAUGAUAAUGACAGUACCUGGAGAAUAAGCUCCGGCUAACUCCGUGCCAGCAGCCGCGGUAAUACGGAGGGAGCUAGCGUUGUUCGGAAUUACUGGGCGUAAAGCGUGCGUAGGCGGUGAUUCAAGUCAGAGGUGAAAGCCUGGAGCUCAACUCCAGAACGGCCUUUGAAACUAGAUCGCUAGAAUUAUGGAGAGGUAAGUGGAAUUCCGAGUGUAGAGGUGAAAUUCGUAGAUAUUCGGAAGAACACCAGUGGCGAAGGCGACUUACUGGACAUAUAUUGACGCUGAGGUACGAAAGCGUGGGGAGCAAACAGGAUUAGAUACCCUGGUAGUCCACGCCGUAAACGAUGAUAACUAGCUGUUCGGGCUCUCAGAGCUUGAGUGGCGCAGCUACGCAUUAAGUUAUCCGCCGUGGGAGGUACGGUCGCGAGAUAAACUACAANAGAGUAGACGGCGUGAGACGUGCCGACGGACGACGACGAGGGAGGAGG